ensembl:lncRNA
GGGUGUGGAGGUGUGUAGUGGUGUGUGGAGGUGGUGUAGUGGUGUGUGGUGGUGUGUGGAGGUGGUGUAGUGGUGUGUGGAGGUGGUGUAGUGGGGUGUGGAGGUGGUGUAGUGGGGUGUGGAGGUGGUGUAGUGGUGUGUGGAGGUGUGUAGUGGUGUGUGGAGGUGGUGUAGUGGUGUGUGGAGGUGUGUAGUGGUGUGUGGAGGUGGUGUAGUGGUGUGUGGAGGUGGUGUAGUGGUGUGUGGAGGUGUGUAGUGGUGUGUGGAGGUGGUGUAGUGGGGUGUGGAGGUGGUGUAGUGGGGUGUGGAGGUGGUGUAGUGGUGUGUGGAGGUGGUGUAGUGGUGUGUGGAGGUGUGUAGUGGUGUGUGGAGGUGGUGUAGUGGUGUGUGGAGGCGUGUGGAGGUGGUGUAGUGGUGUGUGGAGGCGUGUGGAG